CGGGGCGUAGCGCAGCCCGGUAGCGCGCCUGCUUUGGGAGCAGGAUGUCGUAGGUUCGAAUCCUAUCGCCCCGACCA
rnacentral:tRNA from 1 species